UGCCUUUUUGGCAUUUUAACUCACGUCAGAACUCAGAAGUUAAAGACUAAAUAGGCUAAAAAGGCGUGUGAAAUACAAGGAAAUUUACCCUUCGUAUAUUAUUGCAACAUUUCACAUUUAUAUUCUUUCAUCCCGUUUAGGUAUUUCCAUCCAUCAGUAAUGGUCUACGUUCAUUUGUUACCUAAUUGAAACAUACUGCACAUUCCAGUCAGCCAGGAUAGGACACGUGUGUCAUAUCGACCAUUUUGGCUUUUCUCCACUCAUUUAAAAUGCAAAGAUGCUGAAUCGACAUGUAUCCAGUUGAGGAUGUGGUCCGGUUCCUUUCAGUUUCAAUGAUCCCAAUUCAAUGGAUUUUUUUUUUCAUCCGGUUGCCCGGAACCACCAAAAAACAAACAGAAAACGAGCAGAAUGAAAAAUAAAUAUUGAGAAUGGAGAAGACGAGGGAGAGUGUUGUGGGUAACCGGAGAAGAUGUGGACGAAACACCAGAGAAAACAGAAUCAGAAA